CAGCAGCCACGGGAAUACGGAGGGUGCAAGCGUUAAUCGGAAUUACUGGGCGUAAAGCGCACGCAGGCGGUCUGACAAGUCAGAUGAGAAAUCCCCGGGCUUAACCUGGGAACUGCAUUUGAAACUGUCAGGCUGGAGUCUUGUAGAGGGGGGUGGAAUUCCAGGUGUAGCGGUGAAAUGCGUAGAGAUCUGGAGGAAUACCGGUGGCGAAGGCGGCCCCCUGGACAAAGACUGACGCUCAGGUGCGAAAGCGUGGGGAGCAAACAGGAUUAGAUACCCCAGUAGUCCCUGUCUCUUAUAC
rnacentral:rRNA from 1 species